rnacentral:rRNA from 1 species
GAUGAACGCUAGCGGCAGGCCUAAUACAUGCAAGUCGUACGGCAACACAGUUGCGAGCAAUCGCAACCGGUGGCGAGUGGCGCACGGGUGAGUAACGCGUAUGUAACCUACCCUUCUCCGGGACAUAACUCCGCGAAAGCGGUGCUAAUAUCCCAUACCAACUCAUCAAGACAUCUUCUUGAGUUGAAAGCAGCAAUGCGGUGAAGGAUGGGCAUGCGUCCCAUUAGCUGGUUGGUGAGGUAAUGGCCCACCAAGGCUACGAUGGGUAGGGGUUCUGAGAGGAAAGCCCCCCACACUGGUACUGAGACACGGACCAGACUCCUACGGGAGGCAGCAGUAAGGAAUAUUGGGCAAUGGUCGAAAGACUGACCCAGCCAUGCCGCGUGCAGGAUGAGGGCCCUAUGGGUUGUAAACUGCUUUUAGCCGGGAAUAAACACCCGUUUUAUAACGGGCCCGAAGGUACCGGCUGAAUAAGCAUCGGCUAACUCCGUG